GAUGAACGCUAGCUACAGGCUUAACACAUGCAAGUCGCAGGGUAACAUGAGGAAAGCUUGCUUUCCUUGAUGACGACUGGCGCACGGGUGAGUAACGCGUAUCCAACCUUCCCAUAACUACGGGAUAACCCGUUGAAAGACGGCCUAAUACCGUAUGAUAUCGUUUGCUGACAUCAAAUAACGAUUAAAGGUUUAGCGGUUAUGGAUGGGGAUGCGUCUGAUUAGCUUGUUGGCGGGGUAACGGCCCACCAAGGCGACGAUCAGUAGGGGUUCUGAGAGGAAGGUCCCCCACAUUGGAACUGAGACACGGUCCAAACUCCUACGGGAGGCAGCAGUGAGGAAGAUUGGUCAAUGGGCGAGAGCCUGAACCAGCCAAGUAGCGUGCAGGACGACGGCCCUAUGGGUGGUAAACUGCUUUUAUGUGGGGAUAAAGUGCGUGACGUGUCAUGCAUUGCAGGUACCACAAGAAUAAGGACCGGCUAAUUCCGUG
rnacentral:rRNA from 1 species